UUGGUGAGGUAGUGGCUCACCAAGGCGACGAUGCGUAGCCGACCUGAGAGGGUGAUCGGCCACACUGGGACUGAGACACGGCCCAGACUCCUACGGGAGGCAGCAGUAGGGAAUCAUCCGCAAUGGACGAAAGUCUGACGGUGCAACGCCGCGUGAGUGAUGACGGUCUUCGGAUUGUAAAGCUCUGUUGUUAGGGAAGAACAAGUGCCGUUCAAAUAGGGCGGCACCUUGACGGUACCUAACCAGAAAGCCCCGGCUAACUACGUGCCAGCAGCCGCGGUAAUACGUAGGGGGCAAGCGUUGUCCGGAAUUAUUGGGCGUAAAGCGCGCGCAGGCGGUUYCUUAAGUYUGAUGUGAAAGCCCACGGCUCAACCGUGGAGGGUCAUUGGAAACUGGGGAACUUGAGUGUAGGAGAGGAAAGUGGAAUUCCAAGUGUAGCGGUGAAAUGCGUAGAUAUUUGGAGGAACACCAGUGGCGAAGGCGACUUUCUGGCCUACAACUGACGCUGAGGCGCGAAAGCGUGGGG
rnacentral:rRNA from 1 species